rfam:Cricetulus griseus cell line CHO-K1, whole genome shotgun sequence.
UAAACGGCUCUUUUCAGAGCCACCCACAGGUCUCAUUCAAAAGAG